GCCUAAGGUGGGGUAGAUGAUUGGGGUGAAGUCGUAACAAGGUAGCCGUAUCGGAAGGUGCGGCUGGAUCACCUCCUUUCUAAGGAA
rnacentral:rRNA from 1 species